UACGAAGGGGGCUAGCGUUGUUCGGAAUUACUGGGCGUAAAGCGCGCGCAGGCGGCUAUUUAAGUCAGUGGUGAAAGCCCGGAGCUCAACCCCGGAACUGCCAUUGAAACUGUUUAGCUUGAGGAUGAGAGAGGUGAGUGGAAUUCCCAGUGUAGAGGUGAAAUUCGUAGAUAUUGGGAAGAACACCGGUGGCGAAGGCGGCUCACUGGCUCAUUACUGACGCUCAGGCGCGAUAGCGUGGGGAUCAAACAGG
rnacentral:rRNA from 1 species